AGCUCCAAUAGCGUAUAUUAAAGUUGUUGCGGUUAAAAAGCUCGUAGUUGGAUCUCAGUUCGUGCCCCGUGGUCCGCUUGCCGGCGGUUACUGCGGGCGCCGAACAGCUUUGCGAACUGUCUGCCGAUGCUCUUCACCGGGUGUCGGCGAGCGAUUCGUACGUUUACUUUGAACAAAUUAGAGUGCUUAAAGCAGUCGUCCACUGACCGAAUAAUCUUGCAUGGAAUAAUGGAAUAGGAUCUCGAUUCUAUUCUGUUGGUCUUCGGAAUCUGAGAUAAUGAUUAAGAGGGACAGACGGGGGCAUUCGUAUUGCGGCGCUAGAGGUGAAAUUCUUGGACCGUCGCAAGACGAACUACAGCGAAAGCAUUUGCCAAGAAUGUUUUCA
rnacentral:rRNA from 1 species